GACGAACGCUGGCGGCGUGGAUUAGGCAUGCAAGUCGAACGGUAUCAUCCUUUCGGGGGUGAGAGAGUGGCGAACUGGUGAGUAACACGUAGGUUAUCUACCCUCAAGACGGGGACAACCCAGGGAAACUUGGGCUAAUACCGGAUGUGAGCAACUUUUAGUUGUUUGAAAGGUGGCGUAAGCUGUCGCUUGGGGAUGAGCCUGCGUCCUAUUAGUUAGUUGGUGAGGUAACGGCUCACCUAGGCAAUGAUAGGUAGGCGGCCUUAACGGGUGGUCGCCCACACUGGGAUUGAGAUACGGCCCAGACUCCUACGGGAGGCAGCAGUCGAGAAUAGUCUACAAUGGUCGGAAGACUGAUAGUGCGACGCCGCGUGAACGAUGAAUCCCUUCGGGUGUAAAGUCUUUUAUAUGUGAGCAGUGCUUCUUAUAUUAACAGUAUGGGGAGAGAGAUAUUAGCAUAUGAAUAAGCAACGGCUAACUCCGUGCCAGCAGCCGCGGUAAU
rnacentral:rRNA from 1 species